rnacentral:rRNA from 1 species
UAGGGAAUCUUCGGCAAUGGGGGGAACCCUGUCCGAGCAACGCCGCGCGAGUGAAGAAGGUUUUCGGAUCGUAAAGCUCUGUUGUUAAGGAAGAACGAGUGUGAGAAUGGAAAGUUCAUACUGUGACGGUACUUAACCAGAAAGGGACGGCUAACUACGUGCCAGCAGCCGCGGUAAUACGUAGGUCCCGAGCGUUGUCCGGAUUUAUUGGGCGUAAAGCGAGCGCAGGCGGUUAGAUAAGGCUGAAGUUAAAGGCAGUGGCUCAUGCAUUGUAGGCUUUGGAAACUGUUUAUCUUGAGUGCAGAAGGGGAGAGUGGAAUUCCAUGUGGAGCGGUGAAAUGCGUAGAUAUAUGGAGGAACACCGGUGGCGAGAGCGGCUCUCUGGUCUGUAACUGACGCUGAGGCUCGAAAGCGUGGGGAGCGAACAGG